GGGACAAACAGUAAGGAUAAAGAGUGCCAAGAAGACUGCCCAAUUAGAAAGCAACACCACAACGUGCACAUACGACGGUUGCAAAAGACAAUGCCAGGCUCAGCUGGGUAACGAAUACAUCGAUGUGACUGGCCACUGCGAGUACGCGGCGUGCAAGUGCUUCUUCAAAGAACCGUGCAAGCCGGUGAAAUGCCAACUGCGUUGCGAGGAAGAAGCGAGAAGGAGGCGUGCGCCAAACGCAAACGGGACGUGCCAACGAACAACUUGCGUUUGUGUGAUUGAAGAUGAUUGUAUACAGUCGGAGUGCCACAGAAAAUGCAUAGAGAAAUACCCAGGAAGGCCCGGCAAAUCCGUAGGAAAGUGCGUCGAUGGGGAGUGUUCCUGCAGGCAUGUACCAUAAAUCAAGGACAUGUAGGAACCUCCUUGGGGAGGUGCACGGUGCUUUAUUACGGCUCUGGUGGUGUUUCCAAUACAAUAAUAAUGCUGGCGGAAAUGCUAAAAAUAAAGUAUA